AUUUUGACAUGAUAAAGUAAUACAGAGUGUCUGUUUUGUACUUUCAUCUUUUGAACUUCUCUUGAAAGGAAAGUGAAGAAUGAGAGACUACAAAAUAUAUAAUGUAAACAUGACUGUAUGACAAACCUCAGAAAGGAAUGAAAGUUAAGUGUUGAAAGCCUGCUGAUGUUUCUUUUAUCCUUUUCUUGCAUGAGUCAUGCAAACCUCUGUUGUUUCUCUUCCACUUACUGAUUGUACUUGAUGGUACUCUUGAAGUUGAAAAGUUUCCUGGAUUCCACUUUAAUAUUUGUCGUCUUAAAUCCCCUUUUUAAGAAUUAACAUAAACAACUUCACUUCUUGUCCACCACAGUUUAAAACUUUAAUAAUUGUACUGAUUUCCAAUUAACAAACAUUAAUUCAUUAUUAUUUUUAAGCAGAGAGGAAAAAUAAAAGAACAACUGCUUUGAAGCAUCAGCCCUGAUGGUGACAAAACCAUGAUCCCAGUGGUUAUCCAACUGCUAACUCAGGUCUGUGAAGAAUUUUGUCAUCUUCGUUCAUACAGAGAGUUUGUAACAGCAGUUCCUCCUUUCCAGUAGGAAGCUGUGAGCUCCUACCUGGAACAAAAUUGCUUAAGAUAAGAGGACACCAAGCCAUGUCCUAUGGAAUGCACAGGCAGGCACAGAGGCUGUGAACUGUUGGAAGUCUCAGGAAAGCUCUCAGGGUAGGGAGAGACAGCUAAAGCAGAGCCUGGGCCUUCUGCUGACUUUCUGCAUGGGGUAAGUUUCAACAUAUGCAAAAAAUUUAAGUCUUUGAUCCACUUUAAUUUUGUUGCCUUUCUGUUUUGCUGCACAUCUCUUUUAUUUUAGUUUGUUUUGGUGGUGUGUGGUGGGUUUUUUUGUUUGUUUUAAUACUGAAAUUGAUUUUUUCUCUUUUGGCAUGCAUAAUAUUUGGUUUUUUUCUAAACCAAGAAGUCCUAACCUUUCCCUUAGGCCUUGGAAGUGUUUCUCUAUGUUUAUUUCUAAAAGACUUACUAUUUUCUUUCAUCUUUUGCCAAGGUAGAAAGAACAGCUCUGAAUACAGUUUGCCUAGGAGGGCUGUAAACAGGCAAACACUGCAACAUUCCUCUGAAACACUUGCUGCUGACCACCAGGAGAUGCUGAGUACCUUAGGUGUGUGGGCGCUGCUGCUGGUG
rnacentral:lncRNA from 1 species